AUUGAACGCUGGCGGCAGGCCUAACACAUGCAAGUCGAGCGGAUGAAGGGAGCUUGCUCCUGGAUUCAGCGGCGGACGGGUGAGUAAUGCCUAGGAAUCUGCCUGGUAGUGGGGGAUAACGUCCGGAAACGGGCGCUAAUACCGCAUACGUCCUGAGGGAGAAAGUGGGGGAUCUUCGGACCUCACGCUAUCAGAUGAGCCUAGGUCGGAUUCGCUAGUUGGUGGGGUAAAGGCCUACCAAGGCGAGGAUCCGUAACUGGUCUGAGAGGAUGAUCAGGCACACUGGAACUGAGACACGGUCCAGACUCCUACGGGAGGCAGCAGUGGGGAAUAUUGGACAAUGGGCGAAAGCCUGAUCCAGCCAUGCCGCGUGUGUGAAGAAGGUCUUCGGAUUGUAAAGCACUUUAAGUUGGGAGGAAGGGCAGUAAGUUAAUACCUUGCUGUUUUGACGUUACCAACAGAAUAAGCACCGGCUAACUUCGUG
rnacentral:rRNA from 1 species